CAAUUUCCUACUGUCUUUGCAAGUAACUGAAGAAAAUAAAUAUUUAAUGACCUAUUUCAAUAUUUUAAUGUAGGUUUCUUGGUUAAAACACCACAAAUCUCUCCAUGAAAGGGAGACAAUAGAAUUACUAAAGCAAUGAGCAUUGCAGCAAGUGGGAAGUGGGCUGGAAGGGAGAGGGGAAAGGAAAGAACUGAGGCAAAGCUGCGGAAUGCAUGGGCAUGUCUUCAUCAGGUCAGGAGUCACCACUGCCCAGUGACUGCAGCACUGCCUUGUUUCAAGUGCUCCUUCCCAGAGCUUACUGGGGAAGAAACUCACAACCAGUUUGCUGUUCUACCAUUCACCAGUUCUCUGCAUAAAAGCACAACAGAGCUUUCCACCUCUGUGACUUCUGAGGGCGAGCUUUAUUUGGUUAAUAUUUGUUCAUUUGCACAUUAAAUCCUUUAUGUGGUACUUUCAUGAAGGCCAUGUUUGCACUCAUCUGCAUUUGAGGUUGUUCUCUUGCACAAGGAGAGUGGUACAGAGCACUCAGCAUAGUAUCUUGGUGUGGCACCCCGAAGAAUCAUAGAAUCACAGGCUGUCCUGAGUUGGAGAGGACCCACAGGGAUCACCAGGCCCAACUCCAGGCUCCACACAGCACCACCCAAACCUGAAUCCUAUGGCUGCCCCUCUGCUCCCUGUGAAGAGCUGCAGGCCUCCAUGAGGAGCUGCAGGCCACCAUAAGGAGCUGCAGGCCGCCAUGAAAGAGCUGCAGGCCUCCCCUCAUCCUCCUCUUCUCUAUGCGGAACAAACCAUGGGACCUCAAAUACUCCUCACACACCUUCCCCUCCAGACCCUUUGCCGUUUUCAUAGCCCUCCUUUGUAUGCAAUGUAAUCGUGUUACAGGCUCUGUACAGAGACAGCCUGGGAUUGGAAUCUUGGCCUGGGUUUCAUUUUCCUGCUGUGCUGUCCAGCUUCUCCAUUGCUCCUGCCUGCCCUGUGAUGUAUGGGCCUUUUCAGGCAGCUUUGGCCUGACCCAGCCAGCCAAAAUCAGAGGAAAAUCUGGUUUUAUAUUGCCUGGGGAGAAUUCAUCACAGAAGGGUUGCUGGUUGCUGACACUACCAUGCCUCAAUCCAUCCCAUCAGCUCUGUGUGAAGAUGAUGAUGACCCCAUCCUGUUGGUCCCCUGAAGAUCUGGCCCUCAGGUUCAUUGCCAGACCCACAAGGAUCUAAAGGCUCUGAAAGACAUCCGCAGCACCCCAUUAUUUGGGUCAUUACACCAUCCCACCAAUUAAUCCUCAUUACCACAGCUAGUAUUUACUGUUGUGAAUAAGCUCAACUGUUCACAAUAGGUAGUUGCACUUCCAACCCCAAUAAUCAGGUGGCAGAUUCAUAAAAAUCAAG
rnacentral:lncRNA from 1 species